rnacentral:rRNA from 1 species
AAUGGAGGAAACUCUGAUGCAGCGACGCCGCGUGAGUGAAGAAGGUCUUCGGAUCGUAAAACUCUGUCCUUGGUGAAGAUAAUGACGGUAGCCAAGGAGGAAGCCCCGGCUAACUACGUGCCAGCAGCCGCGGUAAUACGUAGGGGGCGAGCGUUGUCCGGAUUUACUGGGCGUAAAGGGUGAGUAGGCGGUUAUGUAUGUCAGAUGUAAAAGGCACAGGCUUAACUUGUGUUAGCAUUUGAAACUGCAUAACUUGAGUGCAGGAGAGGUAAGUGGAAUUCCUAGUGUAGCGGUGAAAUGCGUAGAUAUUAGGAGGAACACCAGUGGCGAAGGCGACUUACUGGACUGUAACUGACGCUGAGUCACGAAAGCGUGGGUAGCAAA